GCAUAUCAAUAAGCGGAGGAAAAGAAACUAACUAGGAUUCCCUUAGUAACGGCGAGUGAACCGGGAUGAGCUCAAAUUUAAAAUCUGGCGUCUUUCAGGCGUCCGAGUUGUAAUCUAUAGAGGCGUUUUCCGCGCCGGACCGCGUCCAAGUCUCUUGGAAUAGAGUAUCAAAGAGGGUGACAAUCCCGUACUUGACGCGACAACCGGUGCUCUGUGAUACGUUCUCAAUGAGUCGAGUUGUUUGGGAAUGCAGCUCUAAAUGGGUGGUAAAUUCCAUCUAAGGCUAAAUAUUGGCGAGAGACCGAUAGCGAACAAGUACCGUGAGGGAAAGAUGAAAAGCACUUUGGAAAGAGAGUUAAACAGCACGUGAAAUUGUUAAAAGGGAAACGAUUGAAGUCAGUCGUGUGAAAGGUAUUCAGCCGUCUCUGGCGGUGUAUUUGCCUUUCACGGGUCAACAUCAGUUUGAUCCGGUAGAAAAAGGCGGGAGGAAGGUGGCACCCUCGGGUGUGUUAUAGCCUCCUGUCAUAUGUGCCGGACCAGACUGAGGAACGCAGCUUGCCGCAAGGCCGGGGUUCGCCCACGUACAAGCUUAGGAUGUUGACAUAAUGGCUUUAAACGACCCGUCUU
rnacentral:rRNA from 1 species